AGAGUUUGAUCAUGGCUCAGGGCUAACGCUGGCGGCGUGUCUUAGCCAUGCAAGUCGAGCGGACUUAUGGGGUAACUUAUAAGUCAGCGGCGGACGGCGGAGUAACACGUAGCUAACCUACCCUCUGGACGGGGAUAACCUACCGAAAGGUGGGCUAAUACCCGAUGUAGUCAUCCUGUAUAGGGGUGAUGAAAGGUGGGCUUCUGUUUACAAGCUCAUGCUGGAGGAGGGGGCUGCGGCCUAUCAGGUAGUUGGUAGGGUAAUAGCCUACCAAGCCGAUGACGGGUAGCCGGCCUGAGAGGGUGACCGGCCCGAGGGGCACUGAGAUACGGGUCCCACUCCUACGGGAGGCAGCAGGCUAGAAAUUUGGGCAAUGGGGGAAACCCUGACCCAGUGACGCCGCGUGCAGGAAGGAGCCCUUCGGGGUGUAAACUGCUGUCGUGUAGGGAGAAGGGUACUAAGGUGAACAAUCUUAGUACUUGACGGUACUACAGGAGGAAGCCCAGGCUAACCUCGUGCCAGCAGCCGCGGUAAUACGGGGUGGGCGAGCGUUGCCCGGAAUUACUGGGUUUAAAGGGGGUGUAGGCGGUCUGGAUAGUCGGGUGUGUAAUGCAAUCGCUCAACGAUUGAGCUGCAUCUGAUACUUCCAGGCUAGAGGGCGGUAGAGGAGAGCGGAACUCCCGGUGUAGCGGUGAAAUGCGUAGAUAUCGGGAGGAACGCCGGUGGCGAAGGCGGCUCUCUGGGCCGUUCCUGACGCUGAGGCCCGAAAGCUGGGGGAGCGAAAGGGAUUAGAUACCCCUGUAGUCCCAGCCGUAAACGAUGGGCACUAGGUGUACCUUUUAACGGAGGUAUACCGUCGGGAAACCAAUAAGUGCCCCACCUGGGGAGUACGCCCGCAAGGGUGAAACUCAAAUGAAUUGACGG
rnacentral:rRNA from 7 species